rnacentral:rRNA from 1 species
GACGAACGCUGGCGGCGUGCUUAACACAUGCAAGUCGAACGAUGAACCCGGAGCUUGCUCCGGCGGAUUAGUGGCGAACGAGUGAGUAACACGUGAGUAACCUGCCCUUGACUCUGGGAUAACUGCGGGAAACUGUAGCUAAUACCGGAUACGACCCUCGGCGGCAUCGCCAGGGGGUGGAAAGAAUUUCGGUCAAGGAUGGACUCGCGGCCUAUCAGCUAGGUGGUGAGGUAACGGCUCACCAAGGCGACGACGGGUAGCCGGCCUGAGAGGGGGACCGGCCACACUGGGACUGAGACACGGCCCAGACUCCUACGGGAGGCAGCAGUGGGGAAUAUUGCACAAUGGGCGCAAGCCUGAUGCAGCAACGCCGCGUGAGGGAUGACGGCCUUCGGGUUGUAAACCUCUUUUAGUAGGGAAGAAGCGAAAGUGACGGUACCUGCAGAAAAAGCACCGGCUAACUACGUGCCAGCAGCCGCAGUAA